rnacentral:rRNA from 1 species
GCCAGACUCCUACGGGAGGCAGCAGUGGGGAAUAUUGGGCAAUGGGCGCAAGCCUGACCCAGCAAUGCCGCGUGAAGGAAGAAGGCUUUCGGGUUGUAAACUUCUUUGACAGGGGAAGAGCAGAAGACGGUACCCUGAAAACAAGCCACGGCUAACUACGUGCCGGCAGCCGCGGUAAUACGUAGGGAGCAAGCGUUAUCCGGAUUUACUGGGUGUAAAGGGCGCGUAGGCGGGAUGGCAAGUCAGAUGUGAAAUCCAAGGGCUCAACCCUUGAACUGCAUUUGAAACUGUCGUUCUUGAGUACUGGAGAGGUUGACGGAAUCCCUAGUGUAGCGGUGAAAUGCGUAGAUAUUAGGAGGAACACCAGUGGCGAAGGCGGUCAACUGGACAGCAACUGACGCUGAGGCGCGAAAGCGUGGGGAGCAAACAGGAUUAGAUACCCCAGUA